rnacentral:lncRNA from 1 species
GAAAUGGCAUCCACAGGCAGAAUGCAUAGGUAAAAUUUAGCUAAUGAAACGUGUAGCAACAUCCAUAAUCAUAAUAAGUAUGGUAAUCACACAUACUUUCACAUCAGCUAGCAACACACGGCUAAACUGAUGGGAUACAUUAGUCAAAGAUCCAUGUCACACUAACUACUGACUGCAGCAUUUGGACAUUGACAGACAGUACAUUCCACUUGGCCAGGAUCAGCAAAACAGAUCACUCUAUUAUAAGCGACAGGUCGCAACAAAAGCGAUCCCAGAUGGAAAAGGCCAUCCAUCCGCUAAAUCAGCAUUUUCUGCACAUCGGCAACUGAUACGCUACGAUCCUGCAGAAAUAGAAUUCCAAACAAAAAUCAAAACAUAUAUACCACAGGGAGCAGUAAAUUAGCAAAAAAAAGUACCGAACAAACGAACCAAAAGGGCGCGUUGCCUAAAGGCACUUGGUCUCCAACUUAGUCUUUUUACUUGCAAAGGGCACCUCCUCAUUUCCCAUCAGGUUUUCAGAUACCUUGCUUCAAGUAUAAAUAAAAAUUACAUAAAAAUAAAAUCAUGAUGUAUAUACUGGUCCCAGAAAGAAUGGGCAACAGUGGCAAAUGAGAAAAACAAUAAAAAUAAAAAUAAUGGCAAAGCACUAUGGAUGAAAACCAUUAAGUUGACAGGCGCACCUUUGACUGUGUCCCUGUGGGCACAUGUUCAUUGAUUUGCUGGGAAGAUCAAUUGAGCAGAGCAAGGAUUGUGGUUCACAUCAAUUUAGCAGAGCAAGGUUUGUGGUUCACAUCAAUUGAGCAGAGGAAGGAUUAAACAAAUCUAUGAAAAAGAUAGGUCGCCUAAAAAUACUCGCUUAGAGCUUAGUUUUUUUGUUUGCAGAAGGCACCUCAUCAUCUACUGGCAGUUGUUUACUUGAUUUGCUUCAAGGAUAAACAAUUAUUUCAAUCUACCCUAGACUACAGAGAUAACUACAUUAUUUUAGCCUCAAACAUGAAGGCUAUUGAAACCUGCAUCUUAAUAACACAACAUUGGCGGUCCACUAAGACUGCUUAGCCAGAUGAAUCAUGAGCUUACCAAGGAAUCCAUAUAGUUGUACCAAUUUAUUUUAUUGUGUCCCAGUUACAUAAUUUCUUUUGACACCGUCCCAGUUAAAGAUGGUUCUCAUGGGUGAGCAAGUGGCACAACAUUUUCUUUGCAGAAGAAGUAAGCACUACUUUUAGACAUCAGUUUUACCAAGCAAUUAUAUUUCAAUCCAACCUAGCCACCAAACUCUGCUAUUCUAGCAUAAAAAGGCAAACAUACUAUGAUAGGCUCCUGGAAUCUACAUCUCGUCUACCAAAACAUACACAUGACCACCAUUAGCCAACUGGAGAGAGGGAGAGACCUGAUAUCUUGUGAGAGCACCUCAAACCAAACUAUGUUGUUUUAGCCUAAAAGGGCAAACAAAAUAUGAGAGUUGUUGUUCUCAAAUAUUACCACACGCAUGGGCUGCUGUAUAAAUGAAGAUGCAUAUUGGCAUGUCUAUCUCAAACUAUCAAUACCUAGACACUAAUGUCUGGCUUGUCCGCAAUACACUAUACCUGAUGCAAUAGUUUAUCUCUGAAAUGUCCAUGUGUUGUUGGCCCAAAGGUCGUCACUGCAGACCAAGCACACCUGAAGAGAGGUCAUUCAAUCUUCAGAGGGAUAAAACGAACCAAAAUCAAGCAAAUCGUAGCUAUUAUAUGCACUGCUUAUGAUGGCACAUAAUGCGUUGUGCAUUCUAUGCACUUCAAUGGGAACCCAAAUUGUUUUUGCUCCAUUUACUUGAUUUAAGGCCUGGCUGCAUGCACACGUACCUAUCUGCGUGACGGCUCCGAUGAACUGCACGCUAGAGUGGAGGCCACGCUCGAGUUGUCCGACUGCCAGUGUCAGGGCCGUGCUUGCCUUUAGAGCUCAACAUACACCUUUCAAUAUAGCUCAUCUUGCUUGGUGUUGUCCUCUCUAUAAGCACAUUAUAGUACUAUUUCCUGUAAAUACGAGAAGUAAUAACAUCAGGUUUCAUCACAUCACAGUCCAAAGGAAAACAAUAGUGCAAGUAUGCAUACAACAGAUGUAGCUGCUCUCGCCUUUGGUUGACAGCGUCCUAAAUAUGUACAGUUCAACAGUGAAUCAACCAUGAAUAGAAAAGAACAUUCAGUUACACAUUCAUCUAUUCACAUGACAAACAGUAUAGUAAAAUAUGGUGACCAUUUAAGAAACACGACACUCAGUUUUUACUUUUUAGUCAAAUUAUACUUGGAAGAAGCUGGGAUCAACUCUUCCUAAAAGGGAAAUAUCACAUUCUUAAAACAAUAAAUAUAAAUUAAAAGAUAACACUUUUCUGAAAUGAAAAGUAGAACCAAGAUCUAAAAUAUGUAUAGUUCAACAGUGACUAAUUAAAUCUAAAACUCAGAACCAUGCAUCGUUAUAACCUCAAAAUGCAUACCUAAUUUGUGGUAAUCUAAUUGCUGAUUAAGACAUAGAAGCUUAAAUAGAUCAUAUCAGAGAGAGAGAGAGAGAGAGAGAGAGAGAGAGAUGGUACCUUGCCUCUUACUGCACAUUAACGCCUAGCUGAAUUCAUGUUAAUUACGCAGCAAGAGAGAGAGAGCAAGGCAUCCUCUUGCAGACCAACCCGGCGGGCAGCAACUUCCGAUCGUAAUUUCAGAUAU